GGUGAGGUGCCUGAGUGGCCGAAAGGAACGGUUUGCUAAACCGUCGUACGGGUAACACUGUACCGAGGGUUCGAAUCCCUCCCUCACCG
rnacentral:tRNA from 1 species